GAUGAACGCUGGCGGCGUGCCUAAUACAUGCAAGUCGAGCGAACAGACGAGGAGCUUGCUCCUCUGACGUUAGCGGCGGACGGGUGAGUAACACGUGGAUAACCUACCUAUCAGACUGGGAUAACUUCGGGAAACCGGAGCUAAUACCGGAUAAUAUAUUGAACCGCAUGGUUCAAUAGUGAAAGACGGCUUUGCUGUCACUUAUAGAUGGAUCCGCGCCGCAUUAGCUAGUUGGUAAGGUAACGGCUUACCAAGGCAACGAUGCGUAGCCGACCUGAGAGGGGGAUCGGCCACACGGGAGCUGAGACACGGUCCAGACGCCUGCGGGAGGCAGCAGAAGGGAAUCGUACGCAGUGGGCGAAAGCCUGGCGGAGCAACGGCGCGUGAGCGAUGAAGGUCUUCGGAUCGUAAAACUGUGUUAUUAGGGAAGAACAAAUGUGUAAGUAACUAUGCACGGCUUGACGGUACCUAAUCAGAAAGCCACGGCUAACUACGUG
rnacentral:rRNA from 1 species